GAUGAACGCUGGCGGCGUGCCUAAUACAUGCAAGUCGAGCGAACAGACGAGGAGCUUGCUCCUCUGACGUUAGCGGCGGACGGGUGAAUAACACGUGGAUAACCUACCUAUAAGACUGGGAUAACUUCGGGAAACCGGAGCUAAUACCGGAUAAUAUAUUGAACCGCAUGGUUCAAUAGUGAAAGACGGUUUUGCUGUCACUUAUAGAUGGAUCCGCGCCGCAUUAGCUAGUUGGUAAGGUAACGGCUUACCAAGGCAACGAUGCGUAGCUGACCUGAGAGGGUGAUCGGCCACACUGGAACUGAGACACGGUCCAGACUCCUACGGGAGGCAGCAGUAGGGAAUCUUCCGCAAUGGGCGAAAGCCUGACGGAGCAACGCCGCGUGAGUGAUGAAGGUCUUCGGAUCGUAAAACUCUGUUAUUAGGGAAGAACAAAUGUGUAAGUAACUAUGCACGUCUUGACGGUACCUAAACAGAAAGCCACGGCUAACUACGUG
rnacentral:rRNA from 1 species